rnacentral:rRNA from 1 species
GAUGAACGCUAGCGGCAGGCUUAAUACAUGCAAGUCGAACGGGAUUGAGAAGCUUGCUUUUCAUGAGAGUGGCGCACGGGUGCGUAACACGUACGCAACCUGCCUUGUCCAGGGGGAUAGCCCGUUGAAAGACGGAUUAAGACCGCAUAACAUCAUUGAAUGGCAUCGUUUAAUGAUCAAAUAUUUAUAGGGACAAGAUGGGCAUGCGUCUGAUUAGCUAGUUGGCGGGGUAAUGGCCCACCAAGGCGACGAUCAGUAGGGGAUCUGAGAGGAUGACCCCCCACACUGGUACUGAGACACGGACCAGACUCCUACGGGAGGCAGCAGUAAGGAAUAUUGGUCAAUGGGCGCAAGCCUGAACCAGCCAUGCCGCGUGCAGGAAGACGGCCCUACGGGUUGUAAACUGCUUUUAUACGGGAAUAACCCCGGUUUCGUGAAACCGGCUGAAUGUACCGUAAGAAUAAGGAUCGGCUAACUCCGUGCCAGCAGCCGCCGUAA